CAUAUGUCCCAGCAGCUGCAUACAAAAUCAUAUUACUAAUGUUUAAUAUAUGGACUCAUUACGGGGUCAAGAUAUAAAUAUAUUGUAUACGGUUACAUAAAGGAAAACUCAGUUUGGUGUUUAUUGAUUUUGAAGUUCUGUCACAUUUUUUCACCUUUAAAUCAUCCUCAUGAUCAACCAGCAAUAACGGAUUCUAAAAACUCUUGGACUAAUUUCAAGGGUAGAAUCAUAAAUCUACUACAAGUUAUUAAAAUAUACUAUAUAUAGAAAGAGAACACUUAGUUUGAUGUUUAUUGAAUUUAAAGCUUUGUCACAUUUUUCUAUUCCUAAAUUAUGCUCGUGAUUGACCAAUAAUUAUAAUUUCUAAAACCACUAAUCACAAGGGUAAAAUCAUAAAUCUACUAAAAUUUAUAUCACCAUUUAGUGAAUAAAUCAUUUUCUACGAUCAAAAUAGUUAUAGAUCGAAGUAGUUAUGCACCUCCACUUUCAUAUUUUGUCAAGCUUCUCAGUGAAAAUCCCCAAACAUAUACAAACCAAUUGUUCUAGACUUGAUUUUCUUAUGUUUUGUCAAGCUUCUCAGUGAAAAUUCCCCAAACAUAUACAACCAUUGUUCUAGACUUUGAUUUUCUUAUGUUUGUCAAGCUUCUAUCUCAUUGAAAGGGCGUCAUAUGAACCUUUUUUUUUAGUUGAUUUUCUUCUAGGAUCCUUUAAAUUUAUUCAUAUUAUUUGGAAACAAAAAGGAAUAGAAAUGAUCAUUGAUCGUUUCCUUAAGUGCCUCGAGGCGCACAAAUAGGUGUGGGCGCUACCAUCCGCCGGUACAAAUUUUAAAAAGAAACUUCACUUUCUAUGCGGAAAACUCUGUUGUCUAUAUUUUUAUUCAAAAAGUUACCACAAGAAGUCACAUAAAAAUAAAUAAAUUUUGAAAAUUACCUAUUUUCAAAAUUUUAAAAAGAAACUUCACUUUCUAAAAUCUGCACUUGAAAAGUUUUGACAAACACCUAUUUUUAUCUUUUUUGGAAACCAAGUGGAGGAAAUUGAUUAUGUUGUAAUUAAAGCACCAAUUUAGAGCUAAGUGUUACCAUUUGAUAACUUUUGCACUCCAAUACUCAACAAGUAGAACAAGCAAUCUUAAUGCGAUUUAACAAGUAGAGGAAAAAAGUGAACUUCAAAACUUAAAAAAGGAACCAUAUCCCCCACGCUUCCGACAGGACCAUGGCUGAUUUCGUCAAUCCCUCCAUAGCAUAUGUCAUCAGCUUUCAGACAAAAUCAUAUGUACGAAAGUUUAAUUAAUUGGACUCAAUUACAGUGUCAGAUAUAAAUAUGUAUACUACAGAUAAAGGAAAAACUCAGUUGGGUGUUUACUGAUUUUGAAGUUCUAUCACAUUUCCCUCCUUUAAAUUAUACUCAUGAUCAACUAGCAAUAAUGGAUUCUAAAAACUCUCUGGACUAAUCUCAAGGGUAGAAUCAUAAAUCUACUAUAAGUCAUUAAAAUAUACUAUAUAGAAAGAGAACACUAAGUUUGAUGUUUAUUGGAAUUUAAUUUGUCACACGUGGGUCUAUCCUAACUGAGGCUCGUGAUUGACCAAUAAUUAUGAUUUCUAAAACCUCUUUUAACUAAUCACAAGGGUAAAAUCAUAAAUCUAGUAAAAUUCAUCUCACCAUUUAAUGAAUAAAAUUAUUUUUCACGAUCGAAAUAGUUAUGGAUCGAAGUAGUUAUGCACCUCCACUUUCAUAUUUUGUCAAGCUUCUCAGUGAAAAUCCCCAAACAUAUACAAACCAAUUGUUCUAUACUUGAUUUUCUGAGUGGUGGGGGGUCAAGCUUCUCAUUGAAAGGGCAGCAUAGGAAGGAACCUUUUUUUUGUAGUUGAUUUUGCCUCAUAGAUCCUUUAAAUUUUUUCAUAUUAUUUGGAAACAAAAAGGAAUAGAAAUGAUCAUUAAUCUUUUCUUUAAGUGCCUCGGGGUGCGCAAAUAGGUGUGGGCACUACCAUAAGUAGGUACAAAUUUUAACAAGAAACUUCACUUUCUAUGCCGGAAGCUCUCUCUAUAUUUUUAUCCAAAAAGUUACCACAAGACCUUGGCCCCCUCCAAGGACUGCAUGCAAUGUUCUAUGGCCAUUAGCCAGUCCUGAUAAAAGUACAGGAUUGUCAAUAGAAUCAGAUGAAUUCGAUUUAAAGUAAUGAUAUAUAAACAAAAAAAAUAAAAAAAUAAUUGUAUAGAAUAAAGCGGGUUUUAUUAUGUCAAAUCAAAACACCUAUCAAUAUACUCUAGUAUUUUAAAAAUGCCUAACCAAUACCAUUAUGUCACUCAUUUUAAUAUAAUAAAAUUGGCCAAUGGAUAUGAAUCAAGUGUGUUUUUAUAUUUUAAAAGUCAAAAAUUUAGAAAAUUACUCGAAAACUUUAGAGCUCUCAUGGCCUUCAGACGAAAAGACUCUUUUGUAUAAUAAGUAGUAUAUAUAAAUUUUAAAAAUAUUAAUGUCACAUCAUUCUUUCAUUGUUAUUGA
rnacentral:lncRNA from 1 species